AUCUAUGUAUACUCCUUUAUAUGAAAAACACAAUUUAGUAGAUAUGUCUCACAUGACAUUAACAUAGAGGAUUCACUUUCAAGUGAGUUACAAACAAAAUAAAACCCAAAUAUACAAAGCAAGCACGUGCGUUGCAAGGGUUAGAAAGCUAGCGAGGAAGUGAAGGGCUGUUUUUCUAUUGGUUCAGCAAUGACGAUGACAACAACACUAAGAAGCUUUUCUGCCCCUAGGCUUGGCUUUACGAAUCCUCUUACGGUCGCUGCCCAUUUAUUCACAGACCUUGGCUCAGUGUGUUUCCAAAUCAUUUUUCAGUCGGAGUGCCUCUUUUCCAAGUUAUGAAAUCAUAUAUGAAGCCUGAUAAUUAUAUAAAACAACUAUGGUCUUUUUCUUUUUUUGAAAUAUUCUCAGUAAAUUCUAUUAGAAUUGUCACAUUUAGGAAUCUCUUGUUCUUUUGAAUUUUAGGAAUAUUAAGUAUGCACUAUUUAAGGCUGUUACCUUGUUGCAAACACAAGCUUUUUUCUUGUUGUGCAGUGGAUAUAUGGCACCAGAGUAUGCGAUGCAUGGUUACCUCACUGACAAAGCCGACAUCUAUAGUUUUGGCAUCGUUGCCUUAGAAGUUGUUAGUGGCCGGAGCAACAGUAGUUCCCAAAAAAUGAGCAAUGCUUUUAUCUACUUGAUUGGGUACGAGUUUUGAAGGAGAGAGGAAAUUUGAUAGAUUUAGUUGAUCAGAGGCUCGGUUGUCACUUUGACAAAGAGGAGGCGCUAGUAUUGACAAAGGUAGCUCUGAUGUGUACUAAUGCGACUCCAGCACUCAGGCCGCCGAUGUCAUCUGUGGUUAGCAUGCUUGAAGGCAAGGUUGCUGUUCCGGUGCUGGACUUUGGAGGCGCUGUCAUGACUGAGGAGAAAAUUGAGGCCAUGAGGAAGCAUUUUAGAGGUGACAAACAUCAGGCAGUUGGUGAGAAAAUCACCAACAGUAUGUCCAUUGAUGGCCCAUGGAUCGGAACCACUUCGUCCGCAUCUGCUAAUGAUCUUUAUCCAAUAUUUCUGGAUACUGAUUACCGACAGAAGAAAGGUUUGUUUUGUUCUAAGUAAAAUAGUUCCCCAAAGAACUAGGGCUUUAGCUCUUGAAUUUCUCUCCGAAGUCUCUCUUUCGCUUACAUUUGAAACUGAAGGUAUAUAUAAUAUAAAGAAAACAACGUGUUAUGCAGUGCAGUAAUUGUGUAUUGUGAACUCAUUAGUAGGGAAAGCCUGAAGACAAUAGUUUGUGGUUUGGUGGUUGUAUUUGAGCUGUUUCUUUCCAUAUUGUUAUUCAAACAGAGACGAUGUUGCGACUUU